rnacentral:rRNA from 1 species
CCAGUUUGAUUAUGGCUAAUAUUGCCGCUGGGGGCAGGCCUAACACAUGCCAAUUUAACGGGAACAGGAAACAAGUUGCUGUUUCGCUGACCAGUGGCGGACGGGUGAGUAAUGUCUGGGAAACUGCCUGAUGGAGGGGGAUAACUACUGGAAACGGUUUUUAAUCCCGCAUAACGUCGCAAGACCAAAGGGGGGGACCCUCGGGCCUCUUGCCAUCGGAUGUGCCCAGAUGGGAUUAGCUUGCUGGUGGGGUAACGGCUCCCCACGGCGACCAUCCCUGCCUGGUCUGAAAGGAUGACCAGCCACACUGGAACUGAUACACGGUCCGAACUCCUACAGGAGGUGGCAGCGGGGAAUAUUGCACAAUGGGGAUUAGCCUGAGGCCCCCAUGCCUUACGUAUGAAGAAGGCCUUCGGGUUGUAAAGUGCUUCCUCUGGGGAGGAAGGGAGUAAAGUUAAGACUUUUGUUCAUUGCCUUCCCCCCCGCAAAAAGCACCUGAUAACUCCAAGGCCUUCUCCAUACACAUACCGAGGGUGCAUGCGGUUAGCGCAAUUACUGGACGAUACCCGAAUGCUGGCUGCUUGAUGAGUCUGAUGCGAAAUCUCCCGGCCUCAACCUGGGAACUGCAUCUGAUACUGGCUAGCUUGAGUCUCGUAGAGGGGGGUAGAAUUCCACCUACUAGCGGAUAAAUGCGUAGAGAUCUCCGAUGAAUACAGGCGGCGAAAGGCC